CCCACUUGAUCGGGAGAGGGCAACCCAGCGUUGCCGCCGAAGGGGCACUACCCAAAAACUCUCAGGCAAAAGGACCGAUCAGGCGGA
rnacentral:ncRNA from 2 species